GACGAACGCUGGCGGCGUGCUUAACACACGCAAGUCGAACGGAAAGGCCCUGCUUUUGUGGGGUGCUCGAGUGGCGAACGGGUGAGUAACACGUGAGUAACCUGCCCUUGACUUUGGGAUAACUUCAGGAAACUGGGGCUAAUACCGGAUAGGAGCUCCUGCUGCAUGGUGGGGGUUGGAAAGUUUCGGCGGUUGGGGAUGGACUCGCGGCUUAUCAGCUUGUUGGUGGGGUAGUGGCUUACCAAGGCUUUGACGGGUAGCCGGCCUGAGAGGGUGACCGGCCACAUUGGGACUGAGAGACGGCCCAGACUCCUACGUGAGGCAGCAGGGGGGAAUAUUGCACAAUGGGCGGAAGCCUGAUGCGGCAACGCCGCGUGCGGGAUGACGGCUUUCGGGUUGUAAACCGCUUUAGCCUGUGACGAAGCGUGAGUGACGGUAAUGGGUAAAGAAGCACCGGCUAACUACGUG
rnacentral:rRNA from 1 species